rnacentral:rRNA from 1 species
CCUACGGGUGGCAGCAGUAGGGAAUAUUGCUCAAUGGGGGAAACCCUGAAGCAGCAACGCCGCGUGGAGGAUGAAGGUUUUCGGAUUGUAAACUCCUUUUAGCAGAGAAGAAAAUGACGGUAUCUAACGAAUAAGCACCGGCUAACUCCGUGCCAGCAGCCGCGGUAAUACGUAGGGUGCAAGCGUUAUUCGGAUUUACUGGGCGUAAAGAGCGCGUAGGCGGGAUAGCAAGUCAGAUGUGAAAUACAAGGGCUCAACCAUAGAACUGCAUUUGAAACUGUUAUGCUGGAGUAUGGGAGAGGUAGGUGGAAUUCUUAGUGUAGGGGUAAAAUGCGUAGAGAUUAAGAGGAACACUCGUGGCGAAGGCGACCUGCUAGAACAUAACUGACGCUGAGGCGCGAAAGCGUGGGGAGCAAACAGCAUUAGAUACCCGAGUAGUC